GUACUUACCUGGAAGGGGAGAUACCAUGAUCAGGAAGGUGGUUUUCCCAGGGUGAGGCUUAUCCUCUGCACUCUGCAUAGGCUGACCCCAGUGACUUCCCCAAAUGUGGGAAACUAGACUGCAUUAAUCUGUGGUAGUGGGGGUCCGUGGUCGUGCUCUCCCUUG